rnacentral:rRNA from 1 species
GGGUUGUGAGGUUAAGCGACUAAGCGUACACGGUGGAUGCCCUGGCAGUCAGAGGCGAUGAAGGACGUGCUAAUCUGCGAUAAGCGUCGGUAAGGUGAUAUGAACCGUUAUAACCGGCGAUUUCCGAAUGGGGAAACCCAGUGUGUUUCGACACACUAUCAUUAACUGAAUCCAUAGGUUAAUGAGGCGAACCGGGGGAACUGAAACAUCUAAGUACCCCGAGGAAAAGAAAUCAACCGAGAUUCCCCCAGUAGCGGCGAGCGAACGGGGAGCAGCCCAGAGCCUGAAUCAGUGUGUGUGUUAGUGGAAGCGUCUGGAAAGGCGCGCGAUACAGGGUGACAGCCCCGUACACAAAAAUGCACAUGCUGUGAGCUCGAUGAGUAGGGCGGGACACGUGGUAUCCUGUCUGAAUAUGGGGGGACCAUCCUCCAAGGCUAAAUACUCCUGACUGACCGAUAGUGAACCAGUACCGUGAGGGAAAGGCGAAAAGAACCCCGGCGAGGGGAGUGAAAAAGAACCUGAAACCGUGUACGUACAAGCAGUGGGAGCACGCUUAGGCGUGUGACUGCGUACCUUUUGUAUAAUGGGUCAGCGACUUAUAUUCUGUAGCAAGGUUAACCGAAUAGGGGAGCCGAAGGGAAACCGAGUCUUAACUGGGCGUUAAGUUGCAGGGUAUAGACCCGAAACCCGGUGAUCUAGCCAUGGGCAGGUUGAAGGUUGGGUAACACUAACUGGAGGACCGAACCGACUAAUGUUGAAAAAUUAGCGGAUGACUUGUGGCUGGGGGUGAAAGGCCAAUCAAACCGGGAGAUAGCUGGUUCUCCCCGAAAGCUAUUUAGGUAGCGCCUCGUGAAUUCAUCUCCGGGGGUAGAGCACUGUUUCGGCAAGGGGGUCAUCCCGACUUACCAACCCGAUGCAAACUGCGAAUACCGGAGAAUGUUAUCACGGGAGACACACGGCGGGUGCUAACGUCCGUCGUGAAGAGGGAAACAACCCAGACCGCCAGCUAAGGUCCCAAAGUCAUGGUUAAGUGGGAAACGAUGUGGGAAGGCCCAGACAGCCAGGAUGUUGGCUUAGAAGCAGCCAUCAUUUAAAGAAAGCGUAAUAGCUCACUGGUCGAGUCGGCCUGCGCGGAAGAUGUAACGGGGCUAAACCAUGCACCGAAGCUGCGGCAGCGACGCUGAUGCGUUGUUGGGUAGGGGAGCGUUCUGUAAGCCUGCGAAGGUGUGCUGUGAGGCAUGCUGGAGGUAUCAGAAGUGCGAAUGCUGACAUAAGUAACGAUAAAGCGGGUGAAAAGCCCGCUCGCCGGAAGACCAAGGGUUCCUGUCCAACGUUAAUCGGGGCAGGGUGAGUCGACCCCUAAGGCGAGGCCGAAAGGCGUAGUCGAUGGGAAACAGGUUAAUAUUCCUGUACUUGGUGUUACUGCGAAGGGGGGACGGAGAAGGCUAUGUUGGCCGGGCGACGGUUGUCCCGGUUUAAGCGUGUAGGCUGGUUUUCCAGGCAAAUCCGGAAAAUCAAGGCUGAGGCGUGAUGACGAGGCACUACGGUGCUGAAGCAACAAAUGCCCUGCUUCCAGGAAAAGCCUCUAAGCAUCAGGUAACAUCAAAUCGUACCCCAAACCGACACAGGUGGUCAGGUAGAGAAUACCAAGGCGCUUGAGAGAACUCGGGUGAAGGAACUAGGCAAAAUGGUGCCGUAACUUCGGGAGAAGGCACGCUGAUAUGUAGGUGAAGUCCCUCGCGGAUGGAGCUGAAAUCAGUCGAAGAUACCAGCUGGCUGCAACUGUUUAUUAAAAACACAGCACUGUGCAAACACGAAAGUGGACGUAUACGGUGUGACGCCUGCCCGGUGCCGGAAGGUUAAUUGAUGGGGUUAGCCGCAAGGCGAAGCUCUUGAUCGAAGCCCCGGUAAACGGCGGCCGUAACUAUAACGGUCCUAAGGUAGCGAAAUUCCUUGUCGGGUAAGUUCCGACCUGCACGAAUGGCGUAAUGAUGGCCAGGCUGUCUCCACCCGAGACUCAGUGAAAUUGAACUCGCUGUGAAGAUGCAGUGUACCCGCGGCAAGACGGAAAGACCCCGUGAACCUUUACUAUAGCUUGACACUGAACAUUGAGCCUUGAUGGCCAGGAUGAGUGGGAGGCUUAGAAGUGUGGACGCCAGUCUGCAUGGAGCCGACCUUGAAAUACCACCCUUUAAUGUUUGAUGUUCUAACGUUGACCCGUAAUCCGGGUUGCGGACAGUGUCUGGUGGGUAGUUUGACUGGGGCGGUCUCCUCCUAAAGAGUAACGGAGGAGCACGAAGGUUGGCUAAUCCUGGUCGGACAUCAGGAGGUUAGUGCAAUGGCAUAAGCCAGCUUGACUGCGAGCGUGACAGCGCAGUGCAAAAGCAGGUGCAAAGUGAUCCGGUGGUUCUGGGCUGGAGGGCCAUCGCUCAACGGAUAAAAGGUACUCCGGGGAUAACAGGCUGAUACCGCCCAAGAGUUCAUAUCGACGGCGGUGUUUGGCACCUCGAUGUCGGCUCAUCACAUCCUGGGGCUGAAGUAGGUCCCAAGGGUAUGGCUGUUCGCCAUUUAAAGUGGUACGCGAGCUGGGUUUAGAACGUCGUGAGACAGUUCGGUCCCUAUCUGCCGUGGGCGCUGGAGAACUGAGGGGCUACUCUCUAAUUUUACAGAGAGGACCGGAGUGGACGCAUCACUGGUGUUCGGGUUGUCAUGCCAAUGGCACUGCCCGGUAGCUAAAUGCGGAAGAGAUAAGUGCUGAAAGCAUCUAAGCACGAAACUUGCCCCGAGAUGAGUUCUCCCUGACUCCUUGAGAGUCCUGAAGGAACGUUGAAGACGACGACGUUGAUAGGCCGGGUGUGUAAGCGCAGCGAUGCGUUGAGCUAACCGGUACUAAUGAACCGUGAGGCUUAACCUUACAACGCCGAAGGUGUUU